rnacentral:rRNA from 1 species
CUGAGAGGAUGACCAGCCACACUGGAACUGAGACACGGUCCAGACUCCUACGGGAGGCAGCAGUGGGGAAUAUUGCACAAUGGGCGCAAGCCUGAUGCAGCCAUGCCGCGUGUAUGAAGAAGGCCUUCGGGUUGUAAAGUACUUUCAGCGGGGAGGAAGGGAGUAAAGUUAAUACCUUUGCUCAUUGACGUUACCCGCAGAAGAAGCACCGGCUAACUCCGUGCCAGCAGCCGCGGUAAUACGGAGGGUGCAAGCGUUAAUCGGAAUUACUGGGCGUAAAGCGCACGCAGGCGGUUUGUUAAGUCAGAUGUGAAAUCCCCGGGCUCAACCUGGGAACUGCAUCUGAUACUGGCAAGC